rnacentral:rRNA from 1 species
UCGGGAAUUUUGGGCAAUGGGGGAAACCCUGACCCAGCAACGCCGCGUGAAGGAUGAAGUAUUUCGGUAUGUAAACUUCGAAAGAAUAGGAAGAAUAAAUGACGGUACUAUUUAUAAGGUCCGGCUAACUACGUGCCAGCAGCCGCGGUAAUACGUAGGGACCAAGCGUUGUUCGGAAUUACUGGGCGUAAAGGGCGCGUAGGCGGCUCGAUAAGUCGGAUGUGAAAUUCCGGGGCUCAACCCCGGAGCGGCAUUUGAAACUGUCGAACUAGAGUACAGUUAGGGUAAACGGAAUUCCACGUGUAGCGGCGAAAUGCGUAGAUAUGUGGAAGAACACCGGUGGUGAAGACGGUUUACUGGGCUGUAACUGACGCUGAGGCGCGAAAGCAUGGGGAGCAAACAGGAUUAGAUACCCGCGUAGUCCCUGAGCGGGCUGGCAAGGCGCAU